rnacentral:tRNA from 1 species
GUUUGAGUGGCAUAAUGGAUGGAAUGCUGGGCUUUAGAGUCAGACAGAAAUGGGUUCAGAUCCCAUCUCAGACA